rnacentral:rRNA from 1 species
UACGGAGGGUGCAAGCGUUAAUCGGAAUUACUGGGCGUAAAGCGUGCGCAGGCGGUUCUAUAAGACAGAUGUGAAAUCCCCGGGCUCAACCUGGGAACUGCAUUUGUGACUGUAGAGCUGGAGUGCGGCAGAGGGGGAUGGAAUUCCGCGUGUAGCAGUGAAAUGCGUAGAUAUGCGGAGGAACACCGAUGGCGAAGGCAAUCCCCUGGGCCUGCACUGACGCUCAUGCACGAAAGCGUGGGAGCAA